rnacentral:tmRNA from 1 species
GGGGGUGAAAGGUCUCGACUUAGGUUGUUUCGCUAAAAGAUGCAAGCCGAGGUGGCAAGGAGGCCUCGUCCCGAAGGGAUUCCGGUGCAGGACUCUAAGUUCUGCAUUCGGGAUAAAACACCUUGCAAAUCUAUAGCUGCCGACUACAGUCCGGUAGCCGAAGUCCUUCCUGCCUAAUUACCAGGAAGGCCUCCUCUGAGAUUUGUCUGUUGGUCUGAGAGGAGAAAAUUAGACAGACUGCGCCUGCUCAGUUAGCUCUUGCAGGCAGGCAAAGACUGAAAGAGCUGGCGAGGCUUAAUCCUGUCUAUCGGAGUAAACCUCGUGAGAAAAAAAGAUAGACUAAGCUUGUAGUAUCUUUUAGUGAAAAACUUAAGGACGCGGGUUCGAUUCCCGCCACCUCCAUUU